rnacentral:rRNA from 1 species
CAAGAAUGAAACUCAAAGGAAUUGACGGGGGCCCGCACAAGCGGAGGAACAUGUGGUUUAAUUCGAUGAUACGCGAGGAACCUUACCCGGGCUUGAAAGUUAGCGACGACGCUUGAAAGAGCGUUUCCCUUCGGGGCGCGAAACUAGGUGCUGCAUGGUUGUCGUCAGCUCGUGCCGUGAGGUGUCGGGUUAAGUCCCAUAACGAGCGCAACCCCUACUGUUAGUUGCCAUCAGGUGAUGCUGGGCACUCUAGCGGGACUGCCGGUGUAAGCCGAGAGGAAGGUGGGGAUGACGUCAAAUCAGCACGGCCCUUACGUCCGGGGCCACACACGUGUUACAAUGGUAGGUACAGAGGGCAGCUACCCUGCGAAGGGGUGCGAAUCUCGAAAGCCUAUCUCAGUUCGGAUUGGAGGCUGAAACCCGCCUCCAUGAAGUUGGAUUCGCUAGUAAUCGCGCAUCAGCCAUGGCGCGGUGAAUACGUUCCCGGGCCUUGUACACACCGCCCGUCAAGCCAUGGGAG